rnacentral:rRNA from 1 species
UUUUAUGAGAGUUUGAUCCUGGCUCAGGACGAACGCUGGCGGCGUGCCUAAUACAUGCAAGUCGAACGCUUCUUUUUCCAUCGGAGCUUGCUCCACCGGAAAAAGAGGAGUGGCGAACGGGUGAGUAACACGUGGGUAACCUGCCCAUCAGAAGGGGAUAACACUUGGAAACAGGUGCUAAUACCGUAUAACAAUCGAAACCGCAUGGUUUUGAUUUGAAAGGCGCUUUCGGGUGUCGCUGAUGGAUGGACCCGCGGUGCAUUAGCUAGUUGGUGAGGUAACGGCUCACCAAGGCGACGAUGCAUAGCCGACCUGAGAGGGUGAUCGGCCACAUUGGGACUGAGACACGGCCCAAACUCCUACGGGAGGCAGCAGUAGGGAAU